ensembl:lncRNA
GGCUGCCAGGAGUUAAGAUGGCGGCGGGGAGGGGGCGACAAAGCCGAGCGCGGUGGAGAGCGGGGCUGGGCCGCCUUGUGAGGGGAGCUCUAGCUGGCUGUCACCGUGUGGUUGCCCAGGGAAUGGGGCACACUUAGUGCCCGGGGCGUGCUCUGCUCGUUGCUUUGCUCGCUGCCGCCGUUGGUUUUGCUGGGGGAAUGAGGGUAAUUCGUGCCGAGGGUAUGGCUCUGCUUGGAGAUUUUUUCUAACUAACGCAUUGGAACAACUUGAUGAUGAAUGCACAGGCUAAAUUUAGUGCUGGCAUAAGCAGGCACAGAUGCACCAACUUCAGUGGAGUUAUUCCGGCUGUUGCUGGGAAGGAGUCUGGCCUGUGUGUAGGAAUCAAGAUUGCAGGAUACAGAGCAGGAACUCAGCAGAGUGAUCGUAGCGCCUUCACCUCUUGAGCACAUUUUCACGAGACACAGUAUAGGAAGUUUUAACUUUUACAUAAUGGAGCAAAUCAGCAUCAAAAAACAACAAAAGAAGGCUGAGGUAAAGAGAAAACAAAAAAUAAAAGUGAGGGGGAAAACAUCAGAAAAAAGCUGCACGCUAGCGUGUGAUCGCUGUGACCUGAGCAAAAGAAAUACUCGGAGCUGCAUCUCAGUAAAAAUUCCCCCACUAGUGGGUGCAGUCGCUGCCCUCGAUUUGUGAUAAAUGCAACUAUUCAGUUCUGUUGAGGCUCCAGACAGGCGAAACAGGAGAUUGUACCCGAAAACGGAGAGUCGUAACUGAGCCUUCUCCUUUUACACCUUCCCCUUCAUUCCUUCCACCCCAAACAGAUGCCUGUAAAGACGAAUAAAACAACAAACACAGAUCAGUCCGGCCAUGAGAGAGUUCUUGGACUUUGUCUGGCAGGGAGUGCCUUGACAGGGGAUCGAAGGUAUUGCCUUUGGCGUUUGAUGACUGUUCAGAGGAACAAAACCUCAUACAAAUUCUCGUUUAUUCAUAGCAAGCCACAGACAACAAACAAAACUCUUCAAUCGACAGCAAGGGUUUUGUCACUCCAGAACCUACUUGUUUCUUCAGCUUCUAUAACCAGCAAGACCUAAAGCUGUUCCCUGAUAGUUCCCAUCCUACCUGUGCACAGCUGAACAGCCCGAGGGGACAGAUGAGGUCUGCCUGAGGCCUGGGAACUGAACUAUUGCCUUUGCAUUAACCAAAGGAUGUAACCUGGAGUUUGAAGUGGCUUGAUGCUGAUAUUUUGUGCUUGUCAUUUGACUAUAGGCAAUAUCUGAUCAGUUACUCCCAUGUUUCUUUCUUUGUUAGAAAUUAAUGAUUUUAAAAUUCACCAAACCUUAGUGGAAGUGAGGUCCCCACAGCUGUCAGUGUUGAACCCAUGUCCAUGUACCCCACUAGGUGCUCAGGAGCCUGAUGAGGGUUCAGGUCCUCGUGUGGAUUCUGUGUUACCUCAAGCUGUGUGAUUCCCCCAGCUAUUUCUUUUCCAGUGCCAUCGGUAACAGGCUCAUGCAUUUUCUCUAAUUUGUGACCUCCUUUUCCCUGUCCCCCCUCCCAAAUGUCCCUGCAAAUGCUCUGCCUUUUUUGCUUUGAAAACCUAUUUUUCCUUCUUAGCAGAAAACAUCAGCUUGCUUCUGAAGUCCUGUUAUGCCAAAAGACAUAAUACAUUAUCAAAAUAAUCCAUCUCCAUUAAAAUCAUGACCUAUUGUGCUUUGCAGAAUUAGUCGGGGGUUCCCUAUAAAUAUGGGUGUGAUUUCUUGCCCUGUGCAGGUAUUGUUUAUCCCCUAUUAAUUCCUUCAUGAUUAAUAAUAAGACAAAGAUUUUAGUCAAGUGUAAGCAGAGCAGGAAGGAGCAGGGGGGAAGCUCUGUGGCAGGUGGCAGCAAGUUACCGCCACAGGGGCACAAAGGCACUGCCGGCAGGGUUGGAAUGGCAAGCAGAGCUGGCACGGGGCCCAGUGCCAUGGAUUGUCCAAAGAGGCAUCUGUGAAAGGCUCAGGAUCCUGAAUCCUGGCUGCCAUGGUGCUCUGAACUCGGUGGCAGCUGGGAGUCUCUGCCUUGGGCAGGGGAUUGCUGCUGUCAACAAGGUGACUGGCAGUGUCUCUCUGCUUUUGGUCUCAGCAGCCUCUAGUUCCUGCUGAGUUCGUAGCAGCAUGUCCAGCAUCUCAUCUCAGAAAUAAAGGUACAAUCUGCUGUGCCGCUCCUCAAAGGUACCUGACCCUUUGCAGUGCUGACAGCAUGAAAGAGAGCAGAGAUCCCUUAAAUUGAUCCCAUGUUCAGUAAACAUGCAUGACUAAAAAUUAGUUAUCUGUUCUGUACAUCACUUCAUCAACUCAUAUUGCAUCUGUAGUGCCUCAAACAGUUGUUGGAAUUUUAACUGCUAUGUUUAAAGCCAGUGGCUGUAUUAGAAAAUAAUGUGGACAGAUAUUAAUCCUCUAAACAGAACUGGCUUUCCUUGGCAAAAGUUAUUUCAAAACAGGACAUUCAGAAGUAAGUUGUUACACUCCACUUGGUACCGUCAGAUCUGUGCUGGUGUAAAGCAAGCAAGCAGAAUUUGCAUGAUAGUUCUGGGUUGCUCUUCAGAAAUAUCUGUAUUUAUUUAAUUUCAAGCAUGCCACUUUUAUUUCUGAGACAUUAUUUCUAUGAAUACUGAAUGUUCAAUAAAUACAUCUUAGUUU